rnacentral:ribozyme from 1 species
UGCCCAGCAACUCCUAUCCCUACCAGCCAUCGCGGUACUGGUCGGGGUACGAGUAACCUUAGGGAAGAUCGGGUAACCAACCCCCGGUGGUAACUUUGGUCGUAUGCUGAUAGGGAAGG